rnacentral:rRNA from 1 species
CAGCCGCCGCGGUAAUACGAAGGUCCCAAGCGUUGUUCGGAAUCACUGGGCGUAAAGGGAGCGUAGGCGGCGUGGUAAGUCAGAUGUGAAAUCCCGGGGCUCAACCCCGGAACUGCAUUUGAUACUGCCAUGCUCGAGGGUUGGAGAGGUAGCUGGAAUUCUUGGUGUAGCAGUGAAAUGCGUGGAUAUCAAGAGGAACACUCGUGGCGAAGGCGAGCUACUGGACAACAUCUGACGCUGAGGCUCGAAGGCUAGGGUAGCGAAAGGGAUUAGAUACCCCAGUAGUCCCUGUCUCUUAUAC